AUGGAUGAUUUUGUGGCGUGGAGGUUCACCAAGAACAACAUAUUCACGGUUAGGUCGGCAUAUCAUGCAGAGUGGGAUCAUCAGUUCGGACGUUGGUUCGAGCGAACGGAAGGCCAACAAUCACAACAAUAUCCAGUCUGGGCAAAAUUGUGGGAAUCUUCACUGCCGGGUAAAGUGAAAAUACAUGCAUGGAAAGUGCUGCAUGGGUUUCUGCCAUGCUUUGGAGUCCUUGCGAACCGUCAUAUAGCGAUGCCCAAGAGCUAUCCAAUGUGUGCAGGAGGAUGCGAGGAUAUAAAGCAUGUGCUGUUUUCUUGUCCAAGGGCGGCUGAGAUAUGGAGAUGUCUGAAGUUGGAUGGCUUUGUGGAGGAGUCAUGCGAGGUGGAUAGAGCUGGAUCAGCGGUGUUGGACUAUAUUUUAUGCGCACCGCGGAGGGGAAGUCUACUUCCAAAUGUCAGUGCGCAGACCCUAAUCCUUGUGGGAGUGUGGUAUGUGUGGUGGGAGAGAAGGCAAAAGGUGCAUGGAGAGGAGGUACAAACGCCAGCCCGUUCGGCGCUGUCGAUUUCUGCUCUAGCUACCAACUACACAAACGCAAGGAAGAAGGAGAUGGGCGUGAAGAAGGGAGGGUGGACCAAGCCAAGGGAGGGGUUCGUGAAGCUCAACGUUGACGCAUCAUUUUAUGCUCAGAAUCUGAACGGAGCAGUCGGGGCUGUGCUCACGGACGACAAAGGGAGGUUCUUAGCAGCCUCCAACGACAAACUGGAGCAUGUGUCCGAUGUAGCAUCAGCAGAAGCGUAUGCAUUGGGGCAUGGCCUCCUCCUUGCGCAACAGAUGGGAGUAAACAAGCUGGUGGUGGAGGCGGAUUGUGUAGAGGUGAUCAAUACAAUGAACUCGGGUGGCUUCACUGCAACAGGAGCGGCGGCAAUUUAUGCAGAUUGCAAUGUUUUAUCAGUAGACUAUACUUCGAUGUCUUUCUUUCACUGCCCUCGAGAGGCAAAUUGUGUCUCUCAUGAGCUAGCUAGGCUGGCGGUUUUUAAUCCACCCGGAUUGUGGGUCGAGGAACCACCGGCAUCUAUUGUGAGAUGGCUGGUGGAUGAUGUAACGGUUGUUUGA
rnacentral:rRNA from 1 species